UAUGCAUUGUAAAAUUCCAUUGUAAAAUCCCAUGCUGGAAAAUCUUUGUCGAAAUCAUUGCAUCCAGCUAUAAUGUUGAGAAAUUCUUAAAUAUGGGAUUGGUUCAUUCAACACACCUGGAGAUGACCCCUGCCUUGUUGCUCCCAGAAUGGGACAUCUCUUUAUACCCUCUUGAAAAACAUCAGCUGCUGCACUGGUACCUCCUCUGAUAAUCAAAGAGGAGAGGUGGAAUUGAGAUGGCAAAGAACAACUGCAAGCUGAGGGUCGCUUCUGCUGUGGGAUCCCCACCCUGGGAACACAGAGAGGCUGUGGGAAGAAGAGUGGGAUGGGGGUGUCCUCACUCCUGACUUGGACUACAGAAUGCUGUACA